rnacentral:rRNA from 1 species
GACGAACGCUGGCGGCGUGCUUAACACAUGCGAGUCGAACGGAAAGGCCCUGCUCUUGUUGGGUGCUCGAGUGGCGAACGGGUGAGUAACACGUGAGUAACCUGCCCCUGACUUUGGGAUAACUUCAGGAAACUGGGGCUAAUAUCGGAUAGGAGCUCCUGCUGCAUGGUGGGGGUUGGAAAGUUUCGGCGGUUGGGGAUGGACUCGCGGCUUAUCAGCUUGUUGGUGGGGUAGUGGCUUACCAAGGCUUUGACGGGUAGCCGGCCUUGGAGGGUGACCGGCCACAUGGGGACUGAGAUACGGCGCAGACUCCUACGGGAGGCAGCAGUGGAGAGUAUUGCACAAUGGGCGGAAGCCUGAUGCAGAAACGCCGCGUGCGGGAUGACGGCCUUCGGGUUGUAAACCGCUUUCGCCUGUGACGAAGCGUGAGUGACGGUAAUGGGUAAAGAAGCACCGGCUAACUACGUG